UCGUUUGUUGGGUUUGAAUAGUGUCAGGAUACAACACCAUAUUUGGUAGAAUCACAACAUGAGGUUCACAAUCAAUUAUACUGUAUCUCUUAAAGGGGCAGUAGCCUUAAUUGGUUGUACAACGUUCAAUUACAGCAUCAUUUAAUCUACAGUUAUUAUUCUGCUAUUGAUUAUCUUACGAAUAAUAUUUACAUGUUAAUAGUAUCGUCUGAUUACAAUUAUUAUGUCUCAUUUUUAAACUAAAUCCAAUCUAUUAGCUUCCAGGUAUAUCUCGCUGUGUGAUAACACAUUCUGAGGGAAUGGCUUGUCCGGCAUUUUGGAAAAACCCAGAGUGCUUUGAGUGAAUGUUGGAAAAAGAUUUUGGUUCCCUUCUAAACAUAGCAAUGUGAAUUGCAAAGAGGACUCACACCACACAUUAUUCAAGUGAACUGGCAAAAGAGUUGAGUUCAAAGGCAAGGGCAGUGUGAAUUUAAAGAUAACUGAGUAAUUUAGCUUUUUUAACUCCAGAGUUUAAAGAGGAGUGAGGUCAGUUCUUUAUAGAGGAGAGACCAGUUCUUUAUAGAGGAGAGACCAGUUCUUUAUUGAGGAGAGGUCAGUUCUUUAUAGAGGAGAGACCAGUUCUUUAUAGAGGAGAGACCAGUUCUUUAUUGAGGAGAGAUCAGUUCUUUAUAGAGGAGAGACCAGUUAUUUAUUGAGGAGAGGUCAGUUCUUUAUAGAGGACUGAGGUCAGUUCUUUAUAGAGAAGAGACCAGUUCUUUAUAGAGGAGAAACCAGUUCUUUAUAGAGGACUGAGGUCAGUUCUUUAUAGAGGAGAGACCAGUUCUUUAUAGAGGAGAGACCAGUUCUUUAUAGAGGAGAGACCAGUUCUUUAUAGAGGAGAGGUCAGUUCUUUAUAGAGGAGAGGUCAGUUCUUUAUAGAGGAGAGGUCAGUUCUUUAUAGAGGAGAGGUCAGUUCUUUAUAGAGGAGAGACCAGUUCUUUAUAGAGGAGAGGUCAGUUCUUUAUAGAGGAGAGGUCAGUUCUUUAUAGAGGAGAGGUCAGUUCUUUAUAGAGGAGAGGUCAGUUCUUUAUAGAGGAGAGGUCAGUUCUUUAUAGAGGAGAGGUCAGUUCAUUAUAGAGGAGAGGUCAGUUCUUUAUAGAGGAGAGGUCAGUUCUUUAUAGAGGAGAGGUCAGUUCAUUAUAGAGGAGAUGUCAGUUCUUUAUAGAGGAGAGACCAGUUCUUUAUAGAGGAGAGACCAGUUCUUUAUAGAGGAGAGACCAGUUCUUUAUAGAGGAGAGACCAGUUCUUUAUAGAGGAGAGGUCAGUUCUUUAUAGAGGAGAGACCAGUUCUUUAUAGAGGAGAGGUCAGUUCUUUAUAGAGGAGAGGUCAGUUCUUUAUAGAGGAGAGGUCAGUUCUUUAUAGAGGAGAGGUCAGUUCUUUAUAGAGGAGAGGUCAGUUCAUUAUAGAGGAGAGGUCAGUUCAUUAUAGAGGCUAACCCCCUAAAACAGCUAUUCCCCCUAAGACUGCUA